rnacentral:lncRNA from 1 species
CUGGGACAGGGGUAGAGACCCUGGCCAUGGGGAAGGGGGAAUGGGCAUGGAGAGCUUCUCUUCCUCUGUGGCUGACUAGAGAGCCAAUGUUUCCAUCCCCGUCUCCAGUGCAUUUGUUUCUGCCUAUGCUUGCAGGUCACAGGCCAUCCUAGGGUGGUUUUCUGAGGCCCACCUCCUGCUGCCCCUGCCUGUAUUCUUCCCAGCUCCUCUGCCCAGUCUGGAUCCAUCUUGGCUGCUGCACGUAUUUUGGCCCUUGCUGCUCCAAGUCCCACACUGAGCCUGGUAUCCUGGGCAGUCAUCUCUGCAACUGGGCCUCUGACGGCACCUGCUCCAACCUGAGGGUUUCCCUGGCCUGGGGCCAAUCAGAACUCUCCAGCCCCAUUUCAUUUUCCUCUUCCUUAUGUUCUAGGUGCAAUGUUUUAAGGGGAAGACUUACACUAUGAAGCUAGCCCAGAAGAGGGUGACUAGAGUACUGAGGAGUUUCUACCUGGAAGGGCUGUAAGGAAGACAACUGCUAUGUUGUGAGCGGCUCUAUGGAGAGGCCCAUGUGGAGGGAAGUGAGGAAGGCCUCUGGCCAACAGUCCAGGAGGAAGUGAAGCCCUCAGUCCAACAGCCUGUGUGGAACUGAACCCUGCAAACAACUCUGUGUGUGAGCUUGGAAGUGGAUCCAUAUUCAGUCAAACCUUGAGAUGGGACACCAUGCUCUGCUAACACUUGAUUGUGGUCCCAGCUAGGCCACUGCUGAAGUCUUGACUCAGAGAAACGAUGAUAUAGUAAAUGUUUGUUGUUUCAAGUUGGUAAGUUUUGGGAUAAUUUUUUAUAUAGUGAUAAUUUUUUAUAUACUUUAAAAUAACACAUUGCCCUAUCCUUUGGUUACACUUUUCUCUUGGAACUCUGCUUGCCCAUAUAUUACAGAAAUAUUUUUCAGAUCAUGGGCUGAAAGGUGGAUUAUGGAUGCAAUGUUUAAAUUUAGCAAUGUCAUUUAUGACUGUUCAUAUGAGCUUUGCUGCAUAAAAUGUUGAUAUUAAUUUGUUUCCCUUUAAGACAUUCUUAAUGUUUACCUCUCAGUAUUUUCUUUGUAAUCAAUUAAUGUAAGAUGAAUAUAGUUUGUAGGUUUUACCUUUCUUGAUUCGUAUACAAAACACACAACAUCCAACCAUUGUUAUUUAAAGAUUAUCUAGGAGGAGAUGAUGGAAACUCUGUUUUGGGCCACCUUCUUUACACAUUGGGUCUAUUUCCCCUAACUUGAGUAUAUAUUAAACUAGUGGGGGAUUGAGCUACAAAAAUGCUACUUGGUGAGAAUUUUAUUAAUACAAAUACUCAACUCUGAAGUUACGUUUUUGUGGAAAGUUAUCACUUUGGAAUUUGAAUUUUCUUGGAGCUAAGCCACUGGUAGUUGUAAAAGCUACACCUGUAAAUUUGCUCCCUAGAAGAUACUUUCGUUUAGUGACCACUUGUUUCUCUGUGGAUAAAUUCAAUUAUAAAUUACAA